AAGUCGUAACAAGGUUUCCGUAGGUGAACCUGCGGAAGGAUCAUUAUUGAAUAAACCUGAUGUGGUUGUUGCUGGCUCUCUCGAGAGUAUGUGCACACCCAUCAUCUUUAUAUUUCCACCUGUGCACCUUUUGUAGACCCAGGACGCUUUUACAGUUGAAUGGGCCUAUGUCUUUAUCAUAUACACCAAGUAUGUAACUGAAUGUAUCAAUGGGCUUUGAUGCCUAUAAACAUUAUACAACUUUCAGCAACGGAUCUCUUGGCUCUC
rnacentral:misc_RNA from 1 species